AUUGAACGCUGGCGGCAGGCCUAACACAUGCAAGUCGAGCGGAUGAAGGGAGCUUGCUCCUGGAUUCAGCGGCGGACGGGUGAGUAAUGCCUAGGAAUCUGCCUGGUAGUGGGGGAUAACGUCCGGAAACGGGCGCUAAUACCGCAUACGUCCUGAGGGAGAAAGCGGGGGAUCUUCGGACCUCACGCUAUCAGAUGAGCCUAGGUCGGAUUAGCUAGUUGGUGGGGUAAAGGCCUACCAAGGCGACGAUCCGUAACUGGUCUGAGAGGAUGAUCAGUCACACUGGAACUGAGACACGGUCCCGACUCCUACGGGAGGCAGCAGUGGGGAAUAUUGGACGAUGGGCGAGAGCCUGAUCCAGCCAUGCCGCGUGUGUGAAGAAGGUCUUCGGAUUGUAAAGCACUUUAAGUUGGGAGGAAGGGCAGUAAGUUAAUACCGUGCUGUUUUGACGUUACCAACAGAAUAAGCACCGGCUAACUUCGUG
rnacentral:rRNA from 1 species